rnacentral:rRNA from 1 species
AUACGGGUGGUGCGAGCGUUGUUCGGAAUUACUGGGCGUAAAGGGCGCGUAGGCGGCGAUGUAAGUCAAAUGUGAAAGUCCUCGGCUUAACCGGGGAAGUGCAUCUGAAACUGCAUUGCUUGAGUAUGGGAGAGGAAAGUGGAAUUCCCGGUGUAGAGGUGAAAUUCGUAGAGAUCGGGAGGAAUAGCGGUGGCGAAGGCGACUUUCUGGACCAAUACUGACGCUGAGGCGCGAAAGCGUGGGGAGCAAACAGGAUUAGAAACCCUAGUAGUCC